rnacentral:SRP_RNA from 1 species
CACGGGAGUCGGCGGACGGCGCACUUGCGAACUUGGUCAGGUCGGGAACGAAGCAGCCACAGUGAUUUCGCGCCGGGUCGUCGGCUCCUACCCUC